GUUCUUAUAGUGUAGAUUAGCACAUGAGAUUUUCAAUUUCAUAGGACAUGUUGUUAUAUAAUUAUGUUAAGAAUA
rnacentral:tRNA from 1 species